AACUGGCUGUGCUGAGCCAGUGGGUCUUUUUCACAAGGCCACGUGCCUGCUUGGGGUGCUGGGAUUUCUCCCCCUGGCCCCAGGUGUUUACUUUGGGGCUCAUUGUCAGAUGUGCUGAGCUCCCACAGUUCCAGAUAAAGUGAAUAGCAGCUGUGGGUGUUCACCUCCUCUUUAAAAUCUUCCUGCCUGAGUGCCUGGCUCAGGGUUUUAUACUGCUGCCCAUCACUGCAGGAUCUGGAACCUUCCACUUAAAAACAAUAACAAUAGCAAAGUCCCUAAUGGACAUCUCUGGCUCUUCUCUUUUGAGGGUGUCCUUUUAAAAAACACACAGCUCCACUAACUGAACUUCUAACAUCAUGAUAUUUACAAGAUAACUGACAACACUGAAGAAAGAAGUACAUGAGAGAUUCAGCAAUGCACAUUACAGUGAAGAUAUAACAAAGGUGGGAGACAUCUUAAUAUAGAGACCUUCAUUAACCAUUUGAUAUGGAUAGAUACAGAACUCACAGAUGAUGUCUGUGACCGACAACUUAGGACAUUUUGGGUUG